AUAAAGAUAAAUCAGGCAAGCAAAGAGAGAGAAAUGACAUAGUCAAUAUAACAAAGGUAUUUUCUAAAUAAGAGGACCUAAACUACCCCAAAUAAUUAAAAUAUUCAAAGUGGGUAAAAGAACCGACAAAUUCAACAGGUUGGACAAAAAUUUAUUAUUUUUAUUCAAAUCAACACGCAUCUUAUUAACGGGAGUCACAUUAUCGAAUCAUGCUCUGGUCAACUUUCAUUAUUUUUUAAAGUCUAUCCACCUUCCUCCUCCCCCUUACCUAAUUUGUUUAUUAAGCUUAGAGACAAUCUAAAUGAAAUGAUAAAACUAGUUUUCCCUAAAAUCCCUAAAUGUCCAAGAGGCAUUGAACUUUUUACUUUGAAUUUGGGAUCUAGACAAAGAAAAUUAGGCUUUCGAGUUAGACUCAAGGUUCUAGUUAAACACAUUGGACAACACGUAGCACAAAAUCGUCUCAAAUAAAGUCUCUUGAUUAGUUAAGAGUAGAUUAGGUGAUUAAAAUUAUGACAAGCAAUUAUUUAUUUUGUAAUGAAACCCAUAGUCAUGAUAUCUAAAAUUAUCAAACAACCAAUUAAUGUCAGAAAUUAAUUAGUUAAAUCCUAUAUGCAUGAUACAAAGUGAUAAAUAUUUGCUUAUCAUUUUCGAAAAAUAAUUAUUAAAUCAUUUCAAAAUAAUGUGUGAAAUUUUUAAAACUAAAAAGCAUGUCAAGUUAAGUUAAUAUGUUCGCGAAUUAGAUCAAUCUCACCAUAAAGGAAAUAAAUUAGACAUGUUGAAAAUUAGUCAACAAAAAGGCUGGAAAAUACAUUUAAAUGCUGGACGUUAAAAUUAAAUACUGGAAAUGAAAGUUAUAUAGAAUGAAGUUUUAAUGGUGAAAAUACUAUUUAAAUGCCGAAAGUUAAAAUUUAGUUGCUGAAAAUUUCAUUUAAAGGCUAAAAAAUAAUUUUAAUUGCUGAAAAAAUAAUUUUAUAUUGCUUGAAUUCAUUUCUUAAAUGCUGGAGAUUCAUUUUAACAUGGUAGAAAAAGUAAUUUAAUAUACUGAAACUCAUUAUUUAGUUGCUAGAAAAUAAACUAAAUACUGUGGAAAAUGAAUUAAAGUGCAGGAAUUUUAAUUUUACCGCUGACAAAUAAAUUAAAUAUGUUGAAAGUUGAUUUAAAUGCUAGGUAAUAAAUUAAAGUGCUAAAACUUGAUUUAAAUGCUGACAAAUGGGUCAAAUAUGCUGAAAACUAAUUUAGUCUCUAGAAAAUAAAUUAAAGUUCUGAAAAUAAAUCAAAUGUGCUAAAAAAAUUAGUUAAACACGUUAUAAGUUAAAGUUGAUAUGCUCGAAGUCGAUUUUAAUUUGUAAAGUUAAUUAUUAACCUAAAACAUGCUUUCUAGGCGACAAACAUAUCAUUUAAUAAUUCCUAAAUUACAUUUGCCUAAGUGAUUCACAUAAUCACGUAAAGCCCGUAAACCCCGCCCCCUACCAGUCCCAUAAUUUUUAUUAUCAAUACGUCAUUUGUACAAUAAAUUAUUUCAGACCCAUAGAAAAAAAGCGCAAAAGAGAUUAAAAAAAACAUAAGAAACUAGACAACAUUUCCAAUUUCUCGGUGAGUCUUCAUCCACGCCGAAGGCUAGAUAGUAUCUGUAGGACAAAGGCAGCUUAUCCCAAAUGCACAACAAACAAACAUAUGGAGAAACAAUGAAUUCACCAACAUGUCACAUAAACAACUUUAUAGAGUUUAGAAGGCAAACAGGACAGACACUCAAAAUUAUCAUGUAAUAAGCAAAUGCGUCGUCUAAGGAAACUAACCAGUUUGUAGCAAUAAGCAGUUAAAUAAAAGUCUGAAAAUCAGCACUUUGACCUACACACAGCAGUUGUAGUGAAUAAGACACCGAUCCAAAAUUCCUUUUAAUAAUACUUACCUGAGACAAAAGAACUGAAGAGUAUUUUUAUUUCUUUUGUAUAGAGCAAAGAUAGUUAAAAACUUGGUCUUGUAAUAGCCGAUGAAAAAGUAGAUGAAAAGGGAAGAUGAGGGGGUUCACAUAGCUAAACAACAAUAACAACACAACCAGUAUAUUUCCACAAAGUACGGUGAUUUAUAUAGCUAAGGGUCAGGAAAAUAAAAGGAAGGAGAUUAUUUUAUAGAUCAAUUAAGAAAAAAUAAACAUCUCCGAUUUACCUUAAAAGACAAGUCAGAAUAUAUAUUCAAAUUCAAGAGUAGGGUAAAAAUAUUAAUCAAGCUGUAAAAAUAGGGAUACAGAUGGAUAUUUUCCAUAUACAAUUAAAAACACAGUCACAUCAAACUGGUACAAAACAGGUCCAAUUUACCAUAAUUCAGAGUAACCAUCUACUCAGAAUAAAAUCCAGAUGCUUAGCAGGCAAAAAUCACAAUAUACCAAAAGAAUUAAUAUACUAUUGUAAUUAUGCGAGUAAUUCAAUCAACCGAGUCAAAUUUUUAGAAUCAAAGUUGUGAGGUUACCACGACAGUAGACAAUGGAAUUGCAUGCCUAGGAAAAUCGAUCCCUAAUAUUAAAUAAAAUCUAGGGUUGACGAAAAUUCACAAAAAUUAGGCAUUCUUGCAUAUGUUGAUCUAAACACAUAAACACAUACGAAAUUGAAAGAAUCAAUUCAAAAUUCACAGUCAUAUUUCAUUAAUUUUUAAAUCCAAAGAAAAAAAUCAGUCAGGGGAAAAAUGGGUAGAAAGAGGAAAUUCACAUAUAGCAACAAGCCUGAGACGGAUUCCGAGAUUCAUCAUGGACUUUACUCUUUUUCGACGUCAGUUGGCCGUAGUUUGGAAUAGCAUCGUGGGUAUGGUGUUGUUUUCCAGCGGAGAAUGAUAGACACUUUCCGAAACCCUGUUAGAAAGGUGGCGGCGAUAGGCGGUUCACUGGCUACCGAUGAACGGAGCGACGACUUUUAUUGGAGUUUUGUCAAUUGAGUGGCAACCAUUGGUUGAAGGCAGCGACUGGGAACAUAGAAGUGGGGGCGAGUGUGGUCGCCUUCAACAGCUAGAGCGAAGCAAGGAAGACAGAAGGCUCCGGAGUGGCUCGCUGACCUAAGUCUCAGCUGGAGAAGGAUAUGGUGCUAUCGGAUUCUAGAGAGAAAGAGAGAAAGAGAGGAGAGAAGGGGUUGGCGAUGGGUGGACUGUUGUUGUGGUGGUGGCGCCGGAGGUAAAGAGAAAGGGGGAGAGAGAAAAGGAGAAAAAAUAAAGAGGGCGGUGACAACAAUCAUGGCUGUUGCUGUUAAGGCCAUGGUGUUGAUAGAGGGGGAAGAGAGAGAGGAGAGGGAGGUGCAGUUGUGAGGGAUGAAAUGGUUAGGCUUUGGGGUAAUUGGGUAUAAA
rnacentral:lncRNA from 1 species